GCCUUUGUGGCUCAGUGGUAGAGCACUUCCUUGGUAAGGAAGAGAUCGUGGGUUCAAUUCCCACCAAAGGCU
rnacentral:tRNA from 1 species